rnacentral:rRNA from 1 species
CGAACGGGUGAGGAACACGUGAGAAAUCUGCCUUCAACACUGGGAUAACUCCGGGAAACCGGGGCUAAUACCGGAUAUGAAACUCAGCGGCAUCGCUGGGUUUGGAAAGUUUUUCGGUUGAAGAUGAUCUCGCGGCCUAUCAGCUUGUUGGUGAGGUAAUGGCUCACCAAGGCGACGACGGGUAGCCGGCCUGAGAGGGCGACCGGCCACACUGGGACUGAGACACGGCCCAGACUCCUACGGGAGGCAGCAGUGGGGAAUAUUGGGCAAUGGAGGAAACUCUGACCCAGCGACGCCGCGUGCGGGAUGAAGGCCUUCGGGUUGUAAACCGCUUUCAGCAGGGAAGAAGCGAAAGUGACGGUACCUGAAGAAGAAGCACCGGCUAACUAUGUGCCAGCAGCCGCGGUAAUACAUAGGGUGCAAGCGUUGUCCGGAAUUAUUGGGCGUAAAGAGCUCGUAGGUGGUUCGUCACGUCGGAUGUGAAAAUCUGGGGCUCAACCCCAGACCUGCAUUCGAUACGGGCGAGCUAGAGUUUGGUAGGGGAGACUGGAAUUCCUGGUGUAGCGGUGGAAUGCGCAGAUAUCAGGAGGAACACCAAUGGCGAAGGCAGGUCUCUGGGCCCAUACUGACACUGAGGAACGA